UUAAAAAAAAAUAAUUUUAAUUUUUUAAAUAUAAAAAAAAUAGCUGUUUUAUUUAAAAAAAAUUAAAAACUGAAAAGGAAUAGUUUUUUUACAAAAAAGUAAUUUUUGUACCUUUUGUAUCAGGGAUUGUUUAAAUAAAUUAAAAAUUUAAAUUUCUCGAAAAAAAAAGAUCUAUUAUGUUAUAACAUAGUAAUUUAUUUCAAAAAAUUAUUAAAUAAUAUUAUAGAAGUGAAAUUCUUUUCAAAUUUUUUGAUAUCUAGUUGAUAUUUAAAAAAUUUAACAUUUUUCUAUUAUAUAAAAAUUUUCGUAAUUAAAUAGAAUAAUUUUUUUGGGAUAAGCUAAAAAAAAAUUUAAGAAAAAAAAAUUAACUAAUUAAAAAGGAAUAAUAUUACCCUUUAAUUUUUAUAAAUAAUUUUAUAUUAUUUUUAUUAAAUUUUAAUUUUUUAAAUAUAAAAAAAAAUAAUAUUUUUUAAUAAAAAUGACGUUAUUAGUAAAAUAAUAUUUUAUAUAGUAUUUAUUUAAUACUAUUAAUUUAUUAAUAAUAAAUAAAUUUUAAGAACUCGGCAAAAAAAUUUUAUGACUGUUUAUUAAAAACAUUUCAUUUAGAAAUUAUUAAUUAAAUGUAAAUCCUGCUCAAUGAAUAUUUUAAAUUGCUGUAGUAUUUUGACUAUACAAAGGUAUUGAAAUAAGACUUUAAUUGAGUGCUAAGAGAAUGGAAUUUCAUAAAAUUUCUUUUUUAAUUUUAAAAAUUGAAAUUAAUUUUAUAUGUGAAGAAACAAUAAUAAAAAUUAAGGACAAGAAGACCCUAAGAAUUUUAAAAAUUUCAAUAUAAUAUUAUAUUAUAUUGAAAUUUUUUAAUUGGGGCGAUUAUUAAAUAUUAAAAACUUUAAUUUUUUUAAAAAAGAACCAAUAUUAUUGGUUAUUUGAGAAAAUACUCUAGGGAUAACAGCGUAAUAAUUUUUGAUAGUUCUUAUAGACAAAAUAGUUUGCGACCUCGAUGUUGGAUUAGGAUUCUUUUUUAAUGAAGAAGUUAAAAAAAGAAGUUUGUUCAACUUUUAAAAUCCUACAUGAUCUGAGUUUAGACCGAUGAGAAUCAGGUUGGUUUCUAUCUUAAUUAAUAAUUAACUUUUUAAGUUAGUACGAAAGGAAUUCUUAAAUAAAAUUAUUUUUUAAGAUAUGGCAGUU
rnacentral:rRNA from 1 species